rnacentral:rRNA from 1 species
AGGACGAACGCUGGCGGCGUGCUUAACACAUGCAAGUCGAGCGGUAAGGCCUUUCGGGGUACACGAGCGGCGAACGGGUGAGUAACACGUGGGUGAUCUGCCCUGCACUCUGGGAUAAGCCUGGGAAACUGGGUCUAAUACCGGAUAUGACCUGCUCUCGCAGUGGGGGUGGGUGGAAAGAUUUAUCGGUGCGAGGAUGGGCCCGCGGCCUAUCAGCUUGGUUGGUGGGGUAAUCGGCCUACCAAGGCGACGACGGGUAGCCGACCUGAGAGGUGACCGGCCACGACUGGGACUGAGACACGGCCACGCUCCGUACGGGAGGCAGCGAGUGGGGAAUAGUUGCACAAGUGGGCGAAAGACUGAC